UGUCCUAAGCUAAGUAAAUAUCCCCAUUCUCCUCACUUUCGCCUCUUAUCAAAAGGGAAAAAAAAGCAUCUUAAUUUUAGUCCAAGCAAACCCAAUCGUAUCUGGAUGAACCAAAUAAAAAAAGCUUGUCAUUUUUUUGAAGAAUAAUCAGAGAUGAGAUGGAGUUCUAGACAUCUCUAGCCUUGCUGACCGGGUUCUCGCCUUCUUGUGUCUCCUCCAUGCCAUUUUCCCUUGAAGCUGCGCUUCACAAUAACAGAGUUUUCCAACUGCAUGUUCAACUAAUUUUGCUCCCGCUACUUCGACAUCAACGAGACUGACAGAAAACUCAAAGCUUGCACUUCUAACCAUGAGAAACUCAAUGCUUAGAAUGCCUAAAAUUUCUUUAUCGAAAGUAUUUUGGGAAAAUUAGCACUCUUAGCCAGCGAAAAUUAUACCCUACACCAUAUACACUACACUAUGAGUGGUGCACCAUGGGCACAAUCGAUCCAUGAUGAAGUAAGGGAGGCAAUAAUCUAAGAUAAGCAUAUCAUAAAUGAG
rnacentral:lncRNA from 1 species